rnacentral:tRNA from 1 species
GCAGUGGUGGUUCAGUGCUACAAUUUUCGCCUUCCAUGAAGGAGACCUGGGUUCAAUUCCCAGUCAGUGCA